rnacentral:rRNA from 1 species
GACAGAGGCCCCGAGCGUUAGGCGGAAUCACUGGGCUUAAAGCGUGUGUAGGCGGAUCGUUAAGUGUCUUGUGAAAUCCCACGGCUCACCCGUGGAACCGCUGGGCAUACUGGCGAUCUCGGGCCAUUCAGGGGCGACUGGAACAAGCGGUGGAGCGGUGAAAUGCAUAGAUAUCGCUUGGAACGCCGAAGGUGAAAACAGGUCGCUGGGGGAUGUGCCGACGCUGAGACACGAAAGCCAGGGGAGCAAACGGG